GGAGAGGUGGCUGAGCUGGUCUAAGGCGCACGACUGGAAAUCGUGUGGGCGUUGAUAGCGUCCCGUGGGUUCGAAUCCCACCCUCUCCGCCA
rnacentral:tRNA from 1 species